rnacentral:rRNA from 1 species
AUACGUAGGGGGCGAGCGUUGUCCGGAAUGAUUGGGCGUAAAGGGCGCGUAGGCGGCCCGGGAAGUCUGGAGUGAAAGUCCUGUUUUUAAGAUGGAAAUUGCUUUGGAUACUGUCGGGCUUGAGUGCAGGAGAGGUAAGUGGAAUUCCCAGUGUAGCGGUGAAAUGCGUAGAGAUUGGGAGGAACACCAGUGGCGAAGGCGACUUACUGGACUGUAACUGACGCUGAGGCGCGAAAGUGUGGGGAGCAAACAGGAUUAGAUACCCUGGUAGUCCACACUGUAAACGAUGAAUGCUAGGUGUAGGGGGUAUCGACCCCUUCUGUGCCGCAGUCAACACAAUAAGCAUUCCGCCUGGGGAGUACGGCCGCAAGGUUGAAACUCAAAGGAAUUGACGGGG